GAUGAACGCUGGCGGCGUGCCUAAUACAUGCAAAUCGAGCGAACAGACGAGGAGCUUGCUCCUCUGACGUUAGCGGCGGACGGGUGAGUGACACGUGGAUAACCUACCUAUAAGACUGGGAUAACUUCGGGAAACCGGAGCUAAUACCGGAUAAUAUAUUUAACCGCAUGGUUCAAUAGUGAAAGACGGUUUUGCUGUCACUUAUAGAUGGAUCCGCGCCGCAUUAGCUAGUUGGUAAGGUAACGGCUUACCAAGGCAACGAUGCGUAGCCGACCUGAGAGGGUGAUCGGCCACACUGGAACUGAGACACGGUCCAGACUCCUACGGGAGGCAGCAGUAGGGAAUCUUCCGCAAUGGGCGAAAGCCUGACGGAGCAACGCCGCGUGAGUGAUGAAGGUCUUCGGAUCGUAAAACUCUGUUAUUAGGGAAGAACAAAUGUGUAAGUAACUAUGCACGUCUUGACGGUACCUAAUCAGAAAGCCACGGCUAACUACGUG
rnacentral:rRNA from 1 species